rnacentral:lncRNA from 10 species
AGGUCCAGAAGCAGGGAAGAACCAGGGCCAGGGCAGGGACAUGGCAGGGCCAGGGCCAUGGCAGGAUCAGGGUCAGCAGAAGGCCAGGGCAGGGCUAGGGUGGCACAGGGCCAAGGCAGGGCAGGGUCAGUGUAGAGCAAGGAACGGGCCAGGGUAUGGCAGGGCAGGGACAGGGAGGUCCAGGGCCAGAGUCAGGUCCAGGACAUGGACAGGGCAGGGCCAGAAACAUGGCAGGACCAGAAAGGGGACAGGGCAAGGGCAAGGCCAGAGAAGGACCAUGGGAAAAACAUGGCCAGGGAGGGUCCAGGGCAAGGGCAAGUCCAGGGCAGAACCAGAGCCAGAGCAGGCCAAAGGCAGGGCCAGGGCAGGGCAAGGCCAGGAUAGGGCAGGGCCAGUGUAGGGUGAGGGUAGGACCAGGGUGAGUUCAGGGCCAGGGCAGGACUAAGAUAGCACAGGGCUAAGGCAGGGCCAAAAGGAGGGGCCAGGGCCAAGCAUGGCCAGUGUCAGACCUGGGGAUUGUCAGGGUCAGGGUCAAGGCUGGUCCAGGGACAGGGCCAGAGCAAGGGCAGGGCCAGGGAGAAAGCAGAACCAGAGAGGAUCCAGAGCAAGGCCAGGGUCAGGGCAGAACCAGGACCAGGAUAAGGCAAAGCCAAGGCCAGGGCAGGGCAAAGGCAAGGCCAGGAAGAAGGCAG